rnacentral:lncRNA from 1 species
UUUAGUAAUAAUUAUAAUGCUAACAAUUCAUUGUGUCCAGAGUAAUUCUUAUUUGGAAAUGAGUAGCAUAGAGCUAUUUGGUAUGGGUGUAAUACAUCACUUGGUUAUAUUUGCUGUCAGUAUAAGUGGUCAAAAGUUUAGCUCACAGGGAAGGGAUUAGCCCCUUCUGCUCUGUGGACUCCCAGGUAUUGACCAUUCAAAAGAUUUAUAACUGUGCAAAAAGGACCUUUUCCUUCAUCAGAGGUUGGGUGGAGAGCAUCCUAAUGAUAAGCAUUAUUUGUUUGGAUCAAAUUUCAUAUACAUCAGUCAGGAUUACUAAUUAUUUAAGAAAAAAAGACUGAAUUAUAUAUUUUCAUGCAGUACAAUUCACUGGCUAAAAAUAGCUGUUAC